GGGGGCUAGGGAGCCGGGCUGUUCCACGCUCACUGUGCGCCUCGGGCGGCGGGGCUCGGGCUCUGUCCGAGGUGCUGAACUCCGGGGCUCCGGCCGCGCCGGCAGAGUGUGCCAGCGUCCAUUAUUGCCAGUGUCUGUGGGCAUCUUCCAGAAGGCCGAGCAUGGGGGUCAGGUGAAACCAGGGCGCCAUGUGAGACUCGCCUGCUUCUCCUUUGCCUCCCACCAUGACUGUAAGUUUCCUGCGACCUCCCCAGCCGUGCUUCCUGUACAGCCUGCAGAACUCAGGAUGGCCUGGACUUCCUCACAGUAUGGUGGCUGGGGAGCAAGAGGAAAAGGCCCAAUGUGCAAGCACUUAUGGAGCCUCUGCCUGCAUCACAUUUGCUAAUGUCCCAUUGGCUAAAGCAAAUCACAUGGCCAAGCUCAAGUCUAUGUGGAAGGAGACUACACAAGAACAGAAAUACUGGGAGGCAUAAUUCUCCAACAGCUGCAAAGUAACAGUCUAUCACAAUUUCUAAUUCCAGCUCUUGCAGCCAGAAGACACUGUUGGGUUUUUAGAUGCAGGGACAGCCCAGAGAUCCAAGCAGAGGAAAUACGUUUGGCUCUGGGAGAGUCUGGAGUCUUAUUAGCAGCUAAAGAGCCUGACUGGGUUGUUGCAUGUGACUCCAUGGUGCAAUACAGCCUCUCCAGCCCAGGGGCCAUGACAAUAAGAAGCCUCCAUAACUGGGAGCCAGUGAAUGAAGGUAUCCUGAACAAGCAUGAAAAGAAGUAUCAGCUCAAACAGAAGUUCUAUGGGUCUAGGAUGGGAUCUUGGCCCCAGAGUGGGAAGCGGAAGAAUAAACACCCCAGCUUCCUGGCCCCUCAGGUGUGUUCUGGACCACCUCCCAGAAUCCCAGCAAGACUGAAGUCCAGGUGCCUACAACAUAACCUUCUCAUUGGCACUCUUUAAUGGUUUCCAUCCCUCCAUCCCUGUCAUAAUUCUUCCCUAUUAGGGCUUCCUGGGGUCACCUUUCAAAUAAACCACUUAUAC
rnacentral:lncRNA from 10 species